GGGGCUGUAGCUUAGUGGCAAAGCACUUGCCUAACAUUCGUAAGGCACUCGGUUUGAUCCUCAGCCCCA
rnacentral:tRNA from 1 species